GACGAACGCUGGCGGCGUGCCUAAUACAUGCAAGUCGAACGGUCUUUUCUAUGGAAGCUUGCUUCCACUGAGAAGAUAGUGGCGAACGGGUGAGUAACACGUGGGUAACCUGCCCAUAAGAGGGGGAUAACAUCCGGAAACGGGUGCUAAUACCGCAUAGUUUUCUUGAUCGCAUGAUCGAGAAAGGAAAGACGGCCUUUGUGCUGUCGCUUAUGGAUGGACCCGCGGCGUGUUAGUUAGUUGGUGAGGUAACGGCUCACCAAGACGAUGAUACGUAGCCGACCUGAGAGGGUGAUCGGCCACAUUGGGACUGAGACACGGCCCAAACUCCUACGGGAGGCAGCAGUAGGGAAUCUUCCGCAAUGGACGAAAGUCUGACGGAGCAACGCCGCGUGAGUGAAGAAGGUUUUCGGAUCGUAAAACUCUGUUGUCAGAGAAGAACAAGUCGGAGAGUAACUGCUCCGGCCUUGACGGUAUCUGACCAGAAAGCCACGGCUAACUACGUGCCAGCAGCCGCCGUAA
rnacentral:rRNA from 1 species